rnacentral:rRNA from 1 species
UACGUAGGGUGCGAGCGUUGUCCGGAAUUAUUGGGCGUAAAGAGCUUGUAGGCGGUUUGUCGCGUCUGCUGUGAAAAUCCGGGGCUCAACCCCGGACUUGCAGUGGGUACGGGCAGACUAGAGUGCGGUAGGGGGAGAUUGGAAUUCCUGGUGUAGCGGUGGAAUGCGCAGAUAUCAGGAGGAACACCAAUGGCGAAGGCAGAUCUCUGGGCCGUAACUGACGCUGAGGAGCGAAAGCAUGGGGAGCGAACAGG